GGGAGACGCGACCGUGAAAGCGGCGUUCCAGCAAUGGCUGCCUGCGAGGUGCUGCAUGGUUGUCGUCAGCUCGUGCCGUGAGGUGUCCGGGUUAAGUCCCAUAACGAGCGCAACCCCUACUGCUAGUUGCCAGCGCGUAAAGGCGGGGACUCUAGCGGAACUGCCGGCGUAAGCCGUGAGGAAGGUGGGGAUGACGUCAAAUCAGCACGGCCCUUACGUCCAGGGCUACACACGUGUUACAAUGGCCGGUACAGAGGGCAGCCACCCCGCGAGGGGGCGCUAAUCCUUAAAGCCGGUCCCAGUUCGGAUCGGAGUCUGCAACCCGACUCCGUGAAGCUGGAUUCGCUAGUAAUCGCGCAUCAGCCACGGCGCGGUGAAUACGUUCCCGGACCUU
rnacentral:rRNA from 1 species